GUAAGUAACUGAUGUGGGGUAAAAUGUCCGUAAGUGAAACAGGCCCUUCCCACCACUCUGCCAGGCCAGACCCCGCCCCCAGCAGUCUGAUUGGCUAGCUCGACGCCGGUCGCCCCUCCAUUGGAUGAGUCGCCUGUCCAGGAAGGAGCCGAUUCCGCCCUGUGAGAGAGGGCUGAACCUCACCAGUCCUUUUGUGGAAUGUUUACACUAGAGACUGGAGCUCAGAGUUCCAAGGGCCAGAACAGGAGGGGUGCGCGGCGCAGCAGCGAGACUCGAGACCCUGGGAUUAGCAGGGGAAAGGCAGUAGUAGCAUUGCCAAUCCCGAAGGGCUCCCGUAGCAAAACAAUGAACGAGAGCCUCAUUCUUCCCACCCAGUCAUGUUUAAACUUAGGCGUGCUGCCUUCCCAUAAACACCAGUAUCUGGAGCGACCACAGCUUUCAGCAAGCAGAAUACAGAACUCAGGUUUAUAGAGCCCGAAGCUGAGAAGUAACCACAGGGGUUGCCAGCCUGCCGCUAGGGGAAGGCUGCACGCCUCUUGCUCCCUAAACCUGAAGGCUCAGGAGGGCGGGGAUCACCAACAGGGCGGCCCCUAGAAUCCGCUGCCCUGCAAGCCUCCAGGAAGCAGCGGGGAGGAGAAAGGCAUUUACGAUUUCCCGAGCAGAUCGGGAAGCAUUCUCGGGCUGCAGGAACUGAGAGCCAGAGGCAAAAAUCGCAAGAGACCACGCAGAAACGAGCUCUCUCGAAGAGAGCAUGAAAACUCCCGAGUUAGGGUCAAAACACAAGAACGAGUGUGCACAGGCGAGCGCCUGUAAUCUCAGCUCCUGAAGAGGUUGAGGCGGGAAGAUUCCUGGCGCCCAGGGGUUCUGGGCCAACUGGGCAUCAUAGCGAGACUUUUUUUUUUUUAAAAAAGAACGGCUGUUCUCAGCCUCCUCCGCCAAAGUGUGUUGGUGGCAGUCCCUAGGCAUUCUCUGGGUAGCGAGAAACGCCACGAACACAUACGGUGCUUGCGAUAACUAGUUGCUUUUAGUUUUUCACUAAACGGGACUAGGGUCCAUCCUGGCCUUGCUUUGGAGGCGCUCUCGCAGCGCCAGAAGGGGCGGGCCCAGUGUUCCCGCUUUUUCCUGCAAAAAGGAUCCUUCCAGACCUAGGUCCGCCACGGUCCUCCCCAGAUGAUCCAGCGGAGACGGCCAGAAACUAACGCUGGCAACAGGUGGCUCUACUCCAGGGAUGGCCUCGAGCCGCGUGGCUAGGGCAGCGAGUUGCGCACUCUAUGAGUGGCCGGCAGGCGGAGCUCGGGGAAAAUACCACCCAACCUACAUCCGAGAAGGGAAAACGGGAGUCUCGCCCAACCAGUGGAAGACAAGAGGAGGCGGAGCCUCCGGGGAGCCCGAGGUGGGUGGAGAGGAAGUGGCCCCGCCCUCUGGUCCCCUUCGGGCCGCUGGCACAAGCCGCCGGCGGAGCAGAUAGUAAACAGUUUGGGCUGGCGCGGAGGCCGGUGGGCGCUUGAAGAAUUGGC
rnacentral:lncRNA from 1 species